GGAACAAAAAUACUUGGACACAAUUCAAAGAACACCAUCAGAUACACGAGAUCUAGAUUCUGGUCCCAAAUUUGUCAUUCUGAGGUAUGUAACUUGACAAUUUGUUGAAUCUCACUGGAUUUUAUUUCUGUUAAGAGUAAAACUAACCAGAUAAGAAUUAUGCUGAGACAUAGCAGUACCUCAAAAGGUGAUAGAGGCAGUAAGCUGCAGAGUUGGAACUUGAAUCCAGGACCUCAAGCUCCAAAUCCAGAAUUCCUCACUUUUCCCCCACGACCUGAUAUAGAACUGGAGAAAAAUAAAUUUGGCUUAUUUAAUUGAGUGUAGCAGAUCCCAGGAACUAUUUCGUGUUUAACGAUUACUUUCAAGCUUAAUUUGCCUCUAUUUAAGUGUAACUAAGACAUCAUCUUUAGGAUAAACAUCUUGGAAUUCUUUCUGAAUUAUCCCCAAAUCUUAAGUUUAGGUGUGCAUUUGACAAUCUGCAUUGCUGCCAAUAGUAGUUGGAAGAUUCCUACCUGAAAAUCGAGGAAGUUUGCUUCACCUACAUGCCCUUCCCUGUGGUAAAUGUGCAAGUCAUGGCACAAUACUUGAGGAAAUAAAUGUUGGUGCCUUAAAAUAAGUGUUGAUAUUGAAAUUUGUCCUAUUUUACCCUGGUAAAUGUGUAAGUCAUGGCACAAUACUUGAGGAACUUGAGCAAAUAAGUUUGCAGUAAAUAACCUGUGUUAUAAAAUGCACAACACUAAAAAUAAAACUAAAUACAACAACUA